CGGCGGACGGGUGAGUAACGCGUGGGUAACCUGCCCGUAAAUCUGGGAUAACAGCGGGAAACCGUUGCUAAUACCGGAUACACCCAUAGGCUCCCAAGGGCUUAUGGGGAAAGGCCCUUAUGGGUCGUUUACGGAUGGGCCCGCGUCCCAUUAGCUAGUUGGUAGGGUAACGGCCUACCAAGGCGACGAUGGGUAGCCGGCCUGAGAGGGUGGUCGGCCACACUGGAACUGAGACACGGUCCAGACUCCUACGGGAGGCAGCAGUGGGGAAUAUUGCGCAAUGGGCGGAAGCCUGACGCAGCAACGCCGCGUGUGGGAAGAAGGUCUUCGGAUUGUAAACCACUGUCUAGGGGGACGAAGGACUGGGGGAGGCAAUGCCCCCGGGGUGACGGUACCCCUGGAGGAAGCCCCGGCUAACUACGUGCCAGCAGCCGCGGUAAUACGUAGGGGGCGAGCGUUGUCCGGAAUUACUGGGCGUAAA
rnacentral:rRNA from 1 species